UCACGACUAAUUAAAACCAACGUUGCCUUCAAUAUGGACAACCGAAAAGCCUCAUUAUUUCUUCAUAAUUCACGCGGAAAUCCACGGGUUAUGAAAUUUCAGGUUUGAUUGUCAGUUGUAGGAGCAAAUCUUUACAGCGUAACAAAUGAUGAGUCCAAGCAGAUAUACCGCUGAAGCUUCUCACCUUCUCCUUUUCAUCUUACUUUCGUACAAACUUUUGAGAUUAAUUAGGGCUCUUUAGCCAAUGUUGCAUAUUGGUUGAAAGUCUUGCACGAUAGUUUGCUUUUUAUUGCAUUUUGCGUUGCUAAAUUUUGCAAAUAUUUUAAAUUAUUAGAAGUAGAGUUUCCUACAAAAUUAUCAUGAUAGGAACUACUCAAUUACUUCCCUGAUUCUAUACAACCAUGUUCCUUUUCCCAUUAAAUUCCAUCACUUGGUUGAUUUAUUUUUAUUACUGUAAGUAUCAUAGAUGGCAAAGGAAUUCUUGAGGAGAAAUAACUGAUUCCCCCAACACAGAAGAGAGGCAGACCCUCCAAAGGUCACAGGCAGUAAAAUAACUCGCCAGUGCCAAAAAUUCAAAGGAAGAUCGAGUGCUGACGAGUGAGAUUUGGCUCUCAUAACGAUUAAAAUAAUGUCAAGAAAAACAGGGUCAAAUUGGAUGAUCAAUUUAUUUAGCCAAGAUUUGAAGAGAGGUACUUCAAAUUUUACUUGGAGUUAUCAACAACAAGACACAAGAGACACACAAGACCUUUUAUAUAGCAACUUGCUUCCAGUUUCGGAUGCCUGCACCAAAAGCAUCUAAACGAUUAGAAUGCAGGGUUGCAUAACACUCUAGAGCGACAACAAAUUAUUCAAAUGUGAGGGAUCGGCAAAAUGAGGAAGAGUCCUACAAAAAGAUUGCAGAAGAUUAUGAAAGAUUUUCAUACAGUGUGACAAGGAAUAAAGGUCUUGUAGAUUUUAUCCAAAAAAUACUCAUAUAUUACCAUCUGAAGCAAACUCAAUAGUACUACGAUGAAAAAAUAUUAUGUGAAAAGCUUAUAAGCAUCACAUAGUUUAAGCAAAACUAUAUCCUUCUUCUUCUUUUUUUUUUAUAA